rnacentral:rRNA from 1 species
AUUGAACGCUGGCGGCAGGCCUAACACAUGCAAGUCGAACGAGUGGCGGACGGGUGAGUAAUGUCUGGGGAACUGCCUGAUAGAGGGGGAUAACUACUGGAAACGGUGGCUAAUACCGCAUACCAUCGGAUGUGCCCAGAUGGGAUUAGCUUGUAGGUGGGGUAAAGGCUCCCCUAGGCGACGAUCCCUAGCUGGUCUGAGCGGAGGAUCAGCCACAUUGGUACUGAGACACUGUCCAGACGCCUACGGUAGGCAGCAGUGGGGAAUAUUGCACAAUGGGCGCAAGCCUGAGGCAGCCAUGCCGCGUGUAUGAAGAAGGCCUUAGGGUUGUAAAGUACUUUCAGCGGGGAGGCGUUACCCGCAGAAGAAGCACCGGCUAACUCCGUGCCAGCAGCCGCGGUAAUAC